CCAACUUGGUAGUGAUCCUGUGUGGUACAUGCAAGAAUUUAAGCCACUGUGGAGGCAGAUGUCACUUUUGAGGAGAUAAAUAUGUAAGUGCCCAAGAAGCAUAAGGUCAAAGUCACUCUGUAAGGAAAAAAAGUGAGGAGGUUAUCCAGUCCAUGCUGUUCCUAGUGGUUAAUUGCCCUUUACCACACACUUUAUGCUGUUAUCCUCAGAUUUUAUUCCUGGAUAUCAUAGCUGGACCCGAUCAUACAAUGAAGCUCUCAGUAAUUUUUCCAGUGUUUGUUGUCUGCUCACCCAAUACUUGUAGUGAUAUAAACGGGUUUUUUUCCAAUCUUAAGUCAUCAUGUGAGAAUUAUGCAUGCUUCAUUUUUGAAGGCUUUGCAAUGUAGUCCAGUCAUGUUUUAGCUCCAGGAGAUUAUACAUUUCUGACUACUAAGGCACAGGACAUCCACAAUUUUCACCAGGUACUUCAAGCAUUGAAUACUAUGCAAAACUGUAUGAAAUAUUUACAGAUUAGUCUUUUUUGUUUGUUUGGUUUGUGGUUUUUGUCCACCCUGAAAUUAGCUAAAACCUUACACCUCUGAAACAGAAAUCUCUUUUGGAUAGUGUGAAUCUUUUUUAUAUGCCAUUUAGAUACAUGUUUCCUCUUCAGUAGUUUCCUGGAAGGACAAGUGUGGCUGAAUGCUUCUGUCAGAUUUCCAAGUUGGUCAGUGUUUUGAGGGGGGUCUUCUUGCACAUUUGAAAUGCUGAGCUUCAGAAAUAUAAAAAGGCUUUUUGGAAAUUUACAACUGUACUUUCCAAAACCUUGGAUUUCAUAGACUAAGUAAGAAUUUGUAAGCAUUAGAAGAACAUUUUAAGAGCAGAAAGAGACAGAACAAAAAUAUAGAAAUUUUUUAGAAAAAUCUGUAUUCUUCCUCCAGUGGCCUUUCAGGUCAAGUACUUUCCUUCAGAUUGCUCUUGGUACAAGAUCUGCUUUUGGAUUUUUGGGGCCUCAAAUAAUUCAUCCAGUGACCUCUGACUCUCCAAGGAAAAUAUUGGCUGGCAUUAUAUCUGAGAACUCCUUGUUCCUACUACCCACAAACAUUUUCUUCCAUGGAGAUGUUCUUUCUCAUUCCAGAGAUUCUAAUGUGUUAACCAUGAAAACACCAAGAGACAGUAAUGUUUUAAAAAAAACAUAACCAAUAUAUCAAGCAAUAAAAUUAUGAACUAGGCAUAAAUGUGCA
rnacentral:lncRNA from 1 species